UCGGGAAUUUUGGGCAAUGGGCGAAAGCCUGACCCAGCAACGCCGCGUGAAGGAUGAAGUAUUUCGGUAUGUAAACUUCGAAAGAAUGGGAAGAAUCAAUGACGGUACCAUUUAUAAGGUCCGGCUAACUACGUGCCAGCAGCCGCGGUAAUACGUAGGGACCAAGCGUUGUUCGGAUUUACUGGGCGUAAAGGGCGCGUAGGCGGCAUGACAAGUCACUUGUGAAAUCUCUGGGCUUAACCCAGAACGGCCAAGUGAUACUGUCGCGCUAGAGUGCAGGAGGGGCAAUCGGAAUUCUUGGUGUAGCGGUGAAAUGCGUAGAUAUCAAGAGGAACACCUGAGGUGAAGGCGGGUUGCUAGGCUGAUACUGACGCUGAGGCGCGAAAGCUAGGGUAGCAAACGGGAUUAGAUACCCUUGUAGUCCCUGAGCGGGCUGGCAAGGCGCAU
rnacentral:rRNA from 1 species